UACGGAGGGUGCAAGCAUUAAUCGGAUUUAUUGGGUGUAAAGGGCAUGUAGGCGGGUAAGUAAGUCAGAUGUGAAAUUUCGAAGCUCACCUUCGAAGCUGCAUUUGAAACUACUUACCUUGAGGGUGGACGGAGAAAACGGAAUUCCAAGUGUAGCGGUGAAAUGCGUAGAUAUUUGGAAGAACACCGGUGGCGAAAGCGGUUUUCUAGUUUAUUCCUGACGCUGAAAUGCGAGAGCAAGGGGAGCAAACAGG
rnacentral:rRNA from 1 species